CCCCUUGGGGAGUAGCCGGUUUCCCGCUGAAGGGAAACGCCCGCAUCAACAUACUCGGCCAGUGCGCCGUGGUGCGGGCAGCCAUCAUGGUU
rnacentral:sRNA from 2 species